UGAGGAAUAUUGGUCAAUGGACGCAAGUCUGAACCAGCCAUGCCGCGUGAAGGAUGAAGGCCUUCUGGGUUGUAAACUUCUUUUAUUGGGGAAGAAACCUCCGAUUUCUAUUGGAGCCGACGGUACCCAAGGAAUAAGCACCGGCUAACUCCGUGCCAGCAGCCGCGGUAAUACGGAGGGUGCAAGCGUUAUCCGGAUUUACUGGGUUUAAAGGGUGUGUAGGCGGGCUGUUAAGUCAGUGGUGAAAUCUCCAGGCUCAACCUGGAAACUGCCGUUGAUACUAUCAGUCUUGAAUUCUGUUGAGGUAGGCGGAAUAUGUCAUGUAGCGGUGAAAUGCUUAGAGAUGACAUAGAACACCGAUUGCGAAGGCAGCUUACUAAACAGCGAUUGACGCUGAGGCACGAAAGCGUGGGGAUCAAACAGG
rnacentral:rRNA from 1 species